rnacentral:lncRNA from 1 species
GUUUGAGUGAAAACUUGAUGGGUUUUUUGGAUAACGGCUGAAACAUCAAAAAUUUGGUAGCUGUUGUGUUGAUGAUCACGAAUGGAAUUCGAAACAGAGGUAAAGGAAAGCAAGAGAGCGAGAACUAAGAAGAAGGAGAGAAUGGGGCUUGGAGUUUGAGCCAUGUAGUCGUCGUUGUUGUGUUCUUGAUAGGUUCAGAGGAGUGAGUUAAAGUGAGAGCUGGGAAUGGGGCUUAAGUAAAGGACGUAAGGCAAAGGAGGGGCAGGGAAAGGACGGGGAAGGGUUGGGGGGUCCUCAGGUCAGGGUUGUUUCCUGUUGAGGAUGAGAACAAGAGGAGCAUUUAAAGUUUGAAAGAAGCAUGAAACCCGCUCUCUAAAGUUAAUCCUCUUGACAUUUUCCUUUUUCUUUUCUUUUUCAGGAGUUUGGGUAUUGGUGGCAAUGCAUGGAUUGGGCUUGGUUAACGCAAUGGAUUAAUUUUCAUUCAUUUUUCGACCUUGAUUAUAGUAGUAUUUUAGCUUUCGAGUUUGGAUGUUUGAUUAGGAAAUCAACUUGUUGAUUUUAAAGUGUGGCUAGUACGUCCAGUAACAGAUCCGAGAUCUAACUGUUUGGAUAGGAUAUUAUUUGAAACAUUAUUUAGCAUAAUUACUGUAAUAUUGUUUGUGAUGUGAUGUAUGUGGGAUAAAAAGGUGAUUGAAAAUAUAAAAAGAUGUGUUGAAAAAUAUGUUUAUGAUGAAAGCAAAAUAUUAUUAUUUGAGAUAAUUUCACUAUCCACCGGACAAACCAUUUGUUAAUGAAGCCUCGUGCAAAGCUUGUCUUCUUGUUCUUUCGUGAUUUCUUGUGAAUCCCUUCUUGUUGUUUGCCUGGUUUUUUAUUUGUGCUGCAGAGAAACUCCAGAGUCGAAACUCCUGUUGUUUUAUUCACAUUCUUUCUUUUUGAGCUAUUCACAAUCUUUCUACUUGAUGCUUUUAUCUUUUUUCUUGUCGGUUGAGUGCAAAGAUGGUUGGUGCAAGUGAUCUCUCUUCCCUCUGUCUAUCUUUAAUUUUAUCUUAUUGUUAUAAAUGAUGGUGAUGCUUGACGGCUCUUUGCGUGGUGGUGGUGGCGAGUUCUCUGAAGCCACGAGAGAUUUUAGUGAAUGCCCAAGAGCAAUGGUUCAUUUGGUUUUGGAGGAAACUGACUCUCUAACUACUUUUGUUUCAUUAGAUAGAUCCACCUGUAUAGAGGCUGCAAGAUUGGUAGUUUGGGAAGUGAUUUGCUGUACUGCAGUUAAUGUAGUUAAUGUUGUUGAAUCUUUUGUGGUGUAAGAACUCUCCUCAGGGCACCCACGAACUGCGAGUGCUAAUGCCAAUUUGUUUGAUU